rfam:Papio anubis isolate 1X1155 chromosome 16, whole genome shotgun sequence.
GUUGGGUGUGGUGGCUCACACCUGUAAUCCCAUCACUUUGGGAGACUGAGGUGGGUGGAUCACCUGAGGUCAGGAGUUUGAGACCAGCCUGGCUAACAUGGUGAAAACCCAUCUCUA